UGGGAGGAUACCGUGAGGGGUGGGGCGGCUGUGUAGACACCAGGUCUGCCGGUGCCUUGAUCAUGGACUUCCAGCCUCCAGAACUAAUGCUUCACUUCAGGUUACCAAAAUGGAUGAGGAUUUCUCUCCAUCAACAGCCAAUUCUGAAGUGGGUUCUCCUACGGACGCCAGCUGGGUGUCCUCUGGUUCAAUUCAAUCCUGAUAUGAUGCACCUGGUGGUAGCCUGCGAUCCACAGGUUGAAGGCCCAGUCCCACAAGACUGCUCCCACCCUGCACCCACUUCCUUUGAUUGACUGGCUAUAAAUCGGCGUUCCCAGGACCCCCACCUUGGGUUUGAUUAAUUUGCUAGAGUGGUUCCUGGAACUCGGGGAAACACUUUACUCACAUUUACAGGUUUAUUGAAAAGGAUAUUACAAAGGAUGUGUAGAUGAACAACAGAGGGAAGAGGUGCGCAGGGUGGGUCUGGGAGGAGGGGUGCAGACCUUCCAUGCCUUCCCCAGCUGUUCUGCCCUCCAGGAACCUCUGCAGGUCCAGCUCUCCAAACUCAGCCCUUUUGGGUUUUUAUGGAAGCUUCAUUAUGUAGGCAUGAUUGAUUAAAUCAUUGGCUAUGGAUAAUCAACUCAACCUUCAGCCUCUCUUUUCCUGGAGGUUGGGGGGUAAGGCUGAAGGUCCCAACUCUCUCAUCCUGCCUUGGUCGUUCCAGGGGCCAGUCCCCAUCCUGAGGUGAUCUAGGGGGUCCCCAGACCCACUCAGCUCAUGAAUAUACAAAAAUCACUCUUAUGACUCUGGAAAUCCCAAGAGCUUUAGAAGAUUUUUUUUUUUUUUUUUUUGCGCCAAGAUUCAGGGUGAUGACUAGGAUGAUAUAGACUUCACAACAUCACGGUUGUUGAGGACCCUCCCAGGCUCCAGGGACACUUGUCUCCCUGGGUCCGCUGUGACUUCGGGCAGGACUCGGGGGGGGUGGCUCUCGGUGGCAGUGCCCCUGCUUCAUACUUUCCUUCCCUGUCUUAUGGAGUCCCCAUGAAAGCCAGAGAGUGGUGGCAGCUUCAAAGACAGAGGUUAUUUGUGGCUGCCUGUUACAGUGAGCAAUGUGAGUGAUGAGUAACCAUCGUGAAGUCAGACUUGGGUGGGUUUCACGAAGCUCCUUGGAUGAGCUGAGCUCUGAGGUUCCUCCCAGCAAUAAAACCCUAUCUCCACCUGCUGUUUAUGAGCUGUGGGACCAAAGACAAGAAGAAACUGUUUGCUGCUGUUAAAACUCAAGUAGGUAACAAUGGAAUCAUUGCCCUCUGUUUUUUUUUUUUUUUAUGUUUAGAGCCAGUUUCUUUGGAAAUAAACAGUCAUUUUGAUCAGA